GAAGUGAAAUAAUCUUCAGUAUUUUCAAGCCCAUGAACUUUGUACCUACUUCCCAUUAACUCUAACCAUUUUGAACAUUUUAUGGUUCAUCAUCGGGUACCAUGGGGCGUCAUAAUGGUUGCAUCACAGUGUAGCACCCCUGAUGACUCACAGCAUUCUGGAAUUUGCACGAGAGGGAAACCUUCCCCAUGUCAUGUUGGAUACUCUACAUUCUGCAUGCUAAGCAGAGACAGGGAAGAACAACUUCAAGAAAUUCAAGUAGAAUUCAAGUAGCUACUCUUCUUUAUCUUGAACAAUUGAUGGUUCCCACACCUACUAGGAGACUAAAGGCAGCUCUAUGGGCCAGUGCUCCCAGCCAGCCACUCACUUUGAAGUCUGGUAUCCGGAUCCUGAUAAUAUUUUAUAUGUAUAGUAGAAACAAACUCACUUUGACUCUGCUAAAAGUUGCCUGGACUAUGGAAGCUUGGCUGCAUCUCCAGGAGUCAUACUGGUGGACCAUGAACUGACCCUGAAUCUGGAAGGCACGUGCUAGAAUGGUGGAAGAGAAAGAAAGAGCGAGCCCAAAUCCAUGAUUUGGAGCUACCACAUCAGCCCCGUACUCUUUACCUUCAGACUUCUUUUAUAUAAGAGAGAACACUUCUUUUAUAAGCCACUUAUUUUAGGUUUACUGAUAUAUGCAGCUGAGCCCAAUAUUAAAUGAUUUCUUAAUCAUUAAA